rfam:Ictidomys tridecemlineatus contig103011, whole genome shotgun sequence.
GGAGUUGUAGCUCAGUGGUAAAGUGCUUGCCUAGCACUUAUGAGGCACUGGGUUCAAUUCUCAGCACCACUA